rnacentral:antisense_RNA from 1 species
AGUUUGACAUAGCUGAGGCAGUUGUAGGGGAAUUUUUCGGGCUGAUUCCUGGGGUGGGAACUUGGAGUCUGUAUUUUUACAGAACUCUUCAGGACACAAACCACAGUCAAAAAAGGUCUUCCUGAGUUCUGAAGGUCAAGCAAUUAGAAUUUUCUCAGGCUUGUAGAAGAGUGGAAUUCUGGAAACCAGUCUUCGCCUCAGGGGAGCAUCUGUUGGAAGUUCUUAGGGAUGCUCAGGCAUAUGGCCUCAGAAACAUGGGCUAUUGAGAAAGAGAAAAAGGCAACUCUGGAAAGAGAGAGCCUGGCCUUACAGAAGACAUCUGAGCUAUUAAUCAACAGAAAUCUCAUGUAUAGUUGAAGAAUCAGAAAUCUGAGCGUAGGAAAAAGUGGGUUAGCCCUGGAGAAAGGAAAAGGAGGAUCAUGGUUCUCUGCAAAGAGCUGGAAGCUAAAAAGCAGGCUGUGUUUACUUACCAACCAGGACUCAGUGGGAUCUUUGCCAGCUUCCAAUAUAGCCUUAAAAGUAUAUGAAAUCCAAGAAAUAUUUCUGCAAAGCAAGAGAU